AUUUGAAUUUGUUGUUGUUUUUAAACGUCUCCUUUGUGGGUCAUCUUGCAUCUUGCUCAUAGACGAUCUUUGGUCUACCUCAGCAAACAAGAAUUCCUGUCAUAAUUUCUGUAAGCGCCUACAUCAUCUGUAAAACCCUCCAUGUUGGAGAGCUUUGAGCUCAGGCAUUAUUCCUGCUUUGACUUUGGUUUCUUUCUUCUUAAAGUUCAGGUGACAGCAGUUUGUGUGCUCGUUACCAUAACAGCAGAUUUAAUGGGCCAGUCACAGAGACCUCCAAUUGUUCUCAGUAUUUCCCACUGCUGCUGGAGAGAGAGGAGUUCAGCCUGACAGAUCUGAGAGGGAAGCUUUUUAUGCAAUAAAGUUUUGCGGGAUAUGUCUGAAUAAUUUCAUAGGAGGUGGUCAAAGGUGGUUUUAUGUACAUUUAUUAAGUGAGAUGGGGAAAGAGAACAACACAGUGAUAGUAAAACUAGAACCAGGUUUCCCACUAAAUAUAGAAGCAAAGAAGCAAUUUCCCAGGAUGAGCACAGUGAAGUCAAAGAAGAGGAUUAAGACGAUCACAUCGGACAGCAGGUCCACCACAGAUAAGGACGGGACUACAUGUGAGAUAUCAGGGAACAUAAUGAGGAUUUGUGUCAACUUAAUGCCGGUUUUAACCUUGGCUAAGGAGACUGAGCAGGAGGAGGAAGACGAGAAAGAAGAAAGCAACAUCUCCAUGAGUCGACAGGAAACAGAAACCAGCAGCAGAGACCCAUCUGUCAGCAAACUAGUGGAACGGAAACAAAACGCAAUUGACCUCCAGUCAGGAUUAACCUCAGAGAGAAUAACAAAAGCAAGUCUGUCACUGACUUCUCCAUUUCUGCCGCCGCCUAUAAGCGAACCAAAACCUGUGCAUCAACAAGCAACAACCAGCUCUGCAAAGCUUGGAGCAGAAGGCUUUGGAGGCAGUGGAGCAGUUACAGCGCAUGCGUCAGACAUCAGGCCCUGGAUAGACAAUGCCCUGUUCUCCAAGAGUAGAUCGGCUGAGGUUCAGCUUCCUGACAUCACCUUGUCCAGCCUGAAUGCACUGCUGCAAACUGUCACAUACAGACUGAGGAAGAAGAGGAGAGGGGCCGAGGAAGGACCACGGAGACAAGACCGGUCUGAUCAGCUCCUCGUGGCCUUUACAGACCAGAGCAGUGUCGGGCAGCAGGAUGGGAAGCGGGGCAGCGUGUACGUUUGAUGGAUGUUACAGUUUCCGUUAAUCUUCAUGGACAGCAGUCUGUCCAGUUGGGAAGUAGAAACCGUUGUGAAUGACUUUCACCUGCUUUAUAGCAGAGGAAUAGAGAAGCAACAAUAAAACAAUAAAGGGAUUUGUUUUUCCUCUACUUUAUAUCUUCAUGUCCUUGUCACUAGUGGUAGCAUGAGACAGUACCUACACAUGUAGUCAAACUCCUUCAAGAUGUGGUCAGAGGAGGUUUUGCUGUCUCUCGCAAUACAGUUUCAAGACCGAAGUAAAUACCAGGAGAUGGGCCUUCGCACAAGGAGAGCUGGACAGGGCAGUAGAAGGGCAGACUGUUGUCUGAAGUGGGACAGCGCUGCCACAGCCCCACAGAUGACCUCCAGUGGGGCUGUUCACGGGCAGAUUUUUCAUCAAACUGUCAGAAAUGCAGUCCACGAGACCCUGAUGUCCUGUUCUCACAGUCUAGCACCCUGCAGCUUGACUGGCCUUCAUCAACGAUAUGCCUACUCAGACCAUUACCGACCCACUGUAAACCCGGGACUGCUGGAUGAUGUUCCUUCAGGUCCCGCUGAAGGACAUCAGGAGGUCACAGCAUCCUCGUGGAGUCGCUUUCAUUUGUACCAAACCAGGAGGAUUCACAGUGGUUUCUGCUUCCUAACUGGACACACUGCCGAGCUGGAAAAGACAGAUCACCUGGUGCCUGCAGGGUAAACAGACAGAUGAGCCUUCCUCCACUUCAUCCUGCACCCAAAGCCCCGCUCAUCUUCCUCAGGAUGGUGCAGCCAAACCACCUGACUGCUCAGACGCCGCAGUGACUCAACAACCACACAUAACUUACAGUGUUUGAAAAUUGUGCUGCAGGUCAAAUAUUUUUAAUUUUUUCAGAACAGACAUUCUUUUAAGCUACCAUACUUCGAGGAAAUAUCGUACAUCUUAGAGCUGAUAUUCAAGUAGAACAGUAUAUUCAUUCCAAAAUGAGACAUCCAGCUUACAGUUUCAGUUCUGCAGUAUUUCAGGGCAUUUUAGUAUAAUUGUUGAUCUUUUAUUAAACAUUUUCUGCCUUUUUUCCAGAGAUAGACAGGAAAUAUAAGAGAGGGAGCUGGGAAAUUACAGCAUGCAGCUGUGGAAGGAUUUAAGGUUACACUACAUGGACAAAAGUAUUGGGAGUAAGUCUGUACUGUUGAAUUAAAGCAGCUAGCCAUGCCGUCUGUCUUUACAAAGAUUUCCGAAAGAACGUGCUGUUGGAGAGAGCUCACUGAAAUUGAGCUUGGUGCAGUAACAGGACGCCACAGCCGCAGUUUGUGACAUUUCUUCUAUCAUAGAUAUCCCACAAUCAGCUGUAAGUGGAGGAAGUGUUUGAGAAUGACAGAAGGUCAAACUCCAAACAUGGCUUUGGUUUCCAUGGCUGCUCCACUACUUUUAUCCAUGUAGUGCACGUGUCCUAACCACUCACCCGUCCAGCUGCCCCACAUUGUUAAAAACAGGUUGCGUUUUGGAAUGAAAUCCUUCUGAUAUGUCACGUUUGUCUCAUGCAUAUAUAUAUAAAAUGCCAUUACAGUACGGUAACAUUCAGCAGCCAGUGUGUCGUUUGUUAGAAAGAAACAAACACAUAGUUCAGAAUAAAAACAGUUGUUGACUGAA